rnacentral:rRNA from 1 species
UAGCGGCGGGCCUAACACAUGCAAGUCGAGCGAGAAAGUGGUUCGGCCAUCAGUAAAGCGGCGGACGGGUGAGUAACACGUAGGUAAUCUUCCCUUGAGCGGGGGACAACGUUUCGAAAGGAACGCUAAUACCGCAUACGUUACAAGGAAAGGCAAGAUCCGCUCGAGGAGGAGCCUGCGUCGCAUCAGCUAGUUGGUGAGGUAAUGGCUCACCAAGGCCACGAUCAGUAGCCGGUCUGAGAGGACGGUCGGCCACACUGGAACUGAGACACGGUCCAGACUCCUACGGGAGGCAGCAGUGGGGAAUUUUUCGCAAUGGGGGCAACCCUGACGAAGCAACGCCGCGUGGGUGAUGAAGUAUUUCGGUACGUAAAACCCUUUCGACGGGGACGAAACUGACGGUACCCGUAGAAGAAGCCCCGGCUAACUCCGUGCCAGCAGCCGCGGUAAUACGGGGGGGGCAAGCGUUGUUCGGAAUUACUGGGCGUAAAGGGCGCGUAGGCGGUUCGCUAAGUUGAAUGUGAAAACUCUGGGCUUAACCCAGAGCCUGCAUCCAAAACUGGCGAACUGGAGUACUGGAGGGAAAGCGGAAUUCCUGGUGUAGCGGUGAAAUGCGUAGAUAUCAGGAGGAACACCGGUGGCGAAGGCGGCUUUCUGGACAGUAACUGACGGUGAGGCGCGAAAGCCGGGGGAGCAAACAGAUAGAUACCCUGUAGUCCCGGCCCUAAACUAUGAUACUUGUGUGAGGAG